rnacentral:rRNA from 1 species
CAGCAGCCGCGGUAAUACGUAGGUGGCAAGCGUUAUCCGGAAUUAUUGGGCGUAAAGCGCGCGUAGGCGGUUUUUUAAGUCUGAUGUGAAAGCCCACGGCUCAACCGUGGAGGGUCAUUGGAAACUGGAAAACUUGAGUGCAGAAGAGGAAAGUGGAAUUCCAUGUGUAGCGGUGAAAUGCGCAGAGAUAUGGAGGAACACCAGUGGCGAAGGCGACUUUCUGGUCUGUAACUGACGCUGAUGUGCGAAAGCGUGGGGAUCAAACAGGAUUAGAGACCCCAGUAGUCCCUGUCUCUUAUAC